UACGUAGGGUGCAAGCGUUAAUCGGAAUUACUGGGCGUAAAGCGUGCGCAGGCGGUUUUGUAAGUCUGUCGUGAAAGCCCCGGGCUCAACCUGGGAAUUGCGAUGGAGACUGCAAGGCUUGAAUCUGGCAGAGGGGGGUAGAAUUCCACGUGUAGCAGUGAAAUGCGUAGAGAUGUGGAGGAACACCGAUGGCGAAGGCAGCCCCCCUGGGAUAACACUGACGCUCAUGCACGAAAGCGUGGGGAGCAAACAGG
rnacentral:rRNA from 1 species